UACGUAGGGCGCAAGCGUUGUCCGGAAUUAUUGGGCGUAAAGAGCUCGUAGGCGGUGUGUCGCGUCGGCCGUGAAAACCUGCAGCUUAACUGUGGGCUUGCGGUCGAUACGGGCAUCACUGGAGUUCGGCAGGGGAGACUGGAAUUCCUGGUGUAGCGGUGAAAUGCGCAGAUAUCAGGAGGAACACCGGUGGCGAAGGCGGGUCUCUGGGCCGAUACUGACGCUGAGGAGCGAAAGCGUGGGGAGCAAACAGG
rnacentral:rRNA from 1 species